AUGCACAUCCCUCUCCCCCCAAGGCCUGGCUGUCUCAGAGCUGCCCAGAUUCCCCCCGUUCUGCAUUCCCAGGGAUGGAGGUUCAGAUUCAGCAUUCCCAGGUUUGGAGGGACACCAUUCCCAGGUUUGGAGGGACACCAUUCCCAGGGAUGGAGGGACACCAUUCCCAGGGAUGGAGGUUCAGAUUCAGCAUUCCCAGGUAUGGAGGGACACCAUUCCCAGGGAUGUAGGGACACCAUUCCCAGGGGUGGAGGGACACCAUUCCCUGGGCAGUGCCUGCUCCUGCGGGGCUCCCUGGAGCUCAGCCCCACCGUGCACAGCUUUGUGAGCAUCUCCUGGUGCAGAGCGCCCCCGUCCCCCGCCCGCUGCCCCUGCCGGCGCUGGAGCCCGCAGCGAACGCCCUGGAGGUCAGCCCUGCACACAAUGCCAGAGCCAGGGCUCCUCCCGCAGCCUCCGCUCCAGGACACGAUCACCGACCGGUGCAUUACUCAUGGCAGACCUUACGACCCUCAAAUCUCCGGGUUUUGGUAUUUUUUUAAACCCUGCUGUAGAAAGUGAAGUAUAUUUUCACAAGUGUUCUCCGUUUAUACAGCUUUAAGUGCCAGGUAGUGGGUAGCCUGUUGUUCCCAGAGGUCCAGGACAGGGCCACGCUCCCUCUGCUCCUCUUUCCCUUUUGGAUGUUGCACACUGCAUUCUGUUGAAUUUUUUUUUUAAUUUUAUUUUUUAAAUAUAUCCAAUAUUUAAACCACCAGAGGUUCUUUUGAAACCGUCUGGCAGAAGAUGCUGUACAUAGAUUUUGCUACAUGUUGUAACUUUCUGAAAUAGUUAGAACACCAAUCCCUUUGGUAUUUUUACGUGAAUAUUUUCAAAGAGCCAGAACUUCUGGUGAUAUGAUUUGAUAAUGGGACGAUGUAUAUUCACAGUUCAGUCUCUACCCAAUGCCUAUGUGCUAUCCCUAAAAUAAAGCUACUGCCUUCUGCCUCCUGCCUGCAGAGACCUGUGUUUUCUGUCCAGAAUUGCUGCUGGUGAUGAAGUGAGGAAUUCUACAUCUGGCACUUCUGCACUUGUUAAUAUUGACCCCGACACCUGCAGGGCCCCACCUGGCUGGGCUGGGGCUGGCCUGGAGAGGAACCUUCCUGCACCACAGCAUCCAGGCUGAAAGGAUCAAAAUGAGCAGCAAGUUCUUAAAAUAGUAUGGAUUUUUAACUCCAGCCUUCAGAAGAAAACAUUUCAUGAACUGUAUGAACCAGUGAAUUGUUUCCCUCUG
rnacentral:lncRNA from 1 species